AGAGAUGUGAAGCAGCAUCAUGUGGAUGUUACUACUGCUGAUUAUUAGUGCGUCAAAUGCCUCUACGAGAAAGGAUAAAAUCUUUCAAUUAAUUAUCAAACUGCAAAAUUUGACCGGAAGACUUGAUUGGCCUGAAUUAAAUACUAUAAAACCGAUAACAGCAAAAACCAAUCCUCCUGGAUAUGUGAAUUUUGCAAAACCCGUAACCUUUUCUAACUCUGAUGAAACUAAAAAAUACUGCAGUGAAGCUGUUUGCCCGCAAGUUUCCUGUCCAUUGACGAAUGUUGUCAAUUUUGGAAAACUUAGAAAAUCGGGCGAGUUAUAUUUUUUAAACCAGAUGAAUAUUCUUUAAAAAUGCUGCAUUCCCUUAGUUCCGGUUCCAAAAAUCUACAGCAUGCGAAACCGCACCAUUAAGUCGUUUCUCGCCUUGAACAAAUUUGAUUUCAACUCGGCCAUGACUUUUAUUUGCUGCACGUACAAUUCGACAUUGUUAGGAUUCAACUCACCCGAACUUCUGACCAUUUUCGUAGACACGCUGAAAGCUGAAAAAAAAUCAAAAGGCGUAUGUUGGACGAGUGGAAUUUACUCCAAGGAGUGCGACGCGUAUGUCUGGUGUCCGGAUAUGGAGAUCAUUGGCGAGAAACCCCUGAUGAAGUGGAGGAAAGGCUUUCCAAAUCGGUUAUUUGGUGAUUGCCUCGCCGUGCAGACCGGACAGGACAAUCCAGACGAUAACGGACUUUUCAACCAAAACUGCAACACGAUAAAUUUCCACGUUU